GAAAUAGCUCAGCUUGGUAUAGCACUUGGUUUGGGACCAAGGGGUCGUAGGUUCGAAUCCUGUUUUCC
rnacentral:tRNA from 1 species